UGAGUAACCUGCCCUUAACUCUGGGAUAAGCCUGGGAAACUGGGUCUAAUACCGGAUAUGACUCCUCAUCGCAUGGUGGGGGGUGGAAAGCUUUUUGUGGUUUUGGAUGGACUCGCGGCCUAUCAGCUUGUUGGUGAGGUAACGGCUCACCAAGGCAACGAUGCGUAGCCGACCUGAGAGGGUGAUCGGCCACAUUGGAACUGAGACACGGUCCAGACUCCUACGGGAGCAG
rnacentral:rRNA from 1 species